AAGUCAAAUCACAUGAUCUGAACUCUCGUGAGUCGUGACCGUCCUCAACUGAAACUUUGGCUGGAAUUGCGAUCUGCAGUAGAAGACUUUCAACUCUAUUUACGCGCGAAGUGCAUAUACAGUUCUUGAUGUUGAUAUAUUAUAUCAACUAAAAAUGCCUUAAAUUAAUGUAUGUAAAUCACUAAGAGCAGCAAGAUCGACUGGAAGAACAAAUGAGCAGCUUGCAGAGCUUGGCAUGACAGCCCAAAAUUUUGUAACACGGCAUUGGGGCAAGUAUCCUCUCUGGUUCCGUAAGAGCGUACACAACAGAGUGGUUGAAAAGAUAGCUGCUGAUCUGUGGAAGAAAUGGUCUUAUUGUCAUCUCAGAGCUACACAAUAAAGAGACUUUCAGAAGAUUCUUGAAACUCUCAAAUAAUUCAGUUUAUUGUAAAAAAUAUAGAUGGGAGUAAAGUUAGUUAUCUAGAGGAA